UACGGAGGGGGCUAGCGUUAAUCGGAAUUACUGGGCGUAAAGCGUGCGCAGGCGGUUUUGUAAGCCAGAUGUGAAAUCCCCGGGCUUAACCUGGGAAUGGCAUUUGGGACUGCAAGGCUGGAGUGUGGCAGAGGAGACUGGAAUUCCUGGUGUAGCAGUGAAAUGCGUAGAUAUCAGGAGGAAUACCGAUGGCGAAGGCAGGUCUCUGGGCUGACACUGACGCUCAUGCACGAAAGCGUGGGGAGCAAACAGG
rnacentral:rRNA from 1 species